rnacentral:rRNA from 1 species
AUUGAACGCUGGCGGCAUGCUUUACACAUGCAAGUCGAACGGCAGCGCGGGCUUCGGCCUGGCGGCGAGUGGCGAACGGGUGAGUAAUACAUCGGAACGUGCCCAGUAGUGGGGGAUAGCUCGGCGAAAGCCGGAUUAAUACCGCAUACGACCUGAGGGUGAAAGCGGGGGAUCUUCGGACCUCGCGCUAUUGGAUCGGCCGAUGGCAGAUUAGCUAGUUGGUGGGGUAAAGGCCUACCAAGGCGACGAUCUGUAGCUGGUCUGAGAGGACGACCAGCCACACUGGGACUGAGACACGGCCCAGACUCCUACGGGAGGCAGCAGUGGGGAAUUUUGGACAAUGGGCGAAAGCCUGAUCCAGCAAUGCCGCGUGUGUGAUGAAGGCCUUCGGGUUGUAAAGCACUUUUGGCGGGAACGAAAAGGACUGUGCCAAUACCACGGUUCGAUGACGGUACCCGCAGAAUAAGCACCGGCUAACUACGUG